ensembl:snRNA U6 U6 spliceosomal RNA
GUGUUCAUUUUAGCAGCACAUGUACUAAAAUUCAAAUGAUACAGAGAAGAUUAACAUAGCUCCUGUGCAAGGAUAACAUGCAAAUUCAUGAAGCACUUCCACAUUAA